AGAGUUUGAUCCUGGCUCAGGAUGAACGCUGGCGGCGUACCUAAUACAUGCAAGUCGAGCGAACGGACGAGAAGCUUGCUUCUCUGAUGUUAGCGGCGGACGGGUGAGUAACACGUGGAUAACCUACCUAUAAGACUGGGAUAACUUCGGGAAACCGGAGCUAAUACCGGAUAAUAUUUUGAACCGCAUGGUUCAAAAGUAAAAGACGGUCUUGCUGUCACUUAUAGAUGGAUCCGCGCUGCAUUAGCUAGUUGGUAAGGUAACGGCUUACCAAGGCAACGAUGCAUAGCCGACCUGAGAGGGUGAUCGGCCACACUGGAACUGAGACACGGUUCAGACUCCUACGGGAGGCAGCAGUAGGGAAUCUUCCGCAAUGGGCGAAAGCCUGACGGAGCAACGCCGCGUGAGUGAUGAAGGUCUUCGGAUCGUAAAACUCUGUUAUUAGGGAAGAACAUAUGUGUAAGUAACUGUGCACAUCUUGACGGUACCUAAUCAGAAAGCCACGGCUAACUACGUGCCAGCAGCCGCGGUAAUACGUAGGUGGCAAGCGUUAUCCGGAAUUAUUGGGCGUAAAGCGCGCGUAGGCGGUUUUUUAAGUCUGAUGUGAAAGCCCACGGCUCAACCGUGGAGGGUCAUUGGAAACUGGAAAACUUGAGUGCAGAAGAGGAAAGUGGAAUUCCAUGUGUAGCGGUGAAAUGCGCAGAGAUAUGGAGGAACACCAGUGGCGAAGGCGACUUUCUGGUCUGUAACUGACGCUGAUGUGCGAAAGCGUGGGGAUCAAACAGGAUUAGAUACCCUGGUAGUCCACGCCGUAAACGAUGAGUGCUAAGUGUUAGGGGGUUUCCGCCCCUUAGUGCUGCAGCUAACGCAUUAAGCACUCCGCCUGGGGAGUACGACCGCAAGGUUGAAACUCAAAGGAAUUGACGGGGACCCGCACAAGCGGUGGAGCAUGUGGUUUAAUUCGAAGCAACGCGAAGAACCUUACCAAAUCUUGACAUCCUUUGACAACUCUAGAGAUAGAGCCUUCCCCUUCGGGGGACAAAGUGACAGGUGGUGCAUGGUUGUCGUCAGCUCGUGUCGUGAGAUGUUGGGUUAAGUCCCGCAACGAGCGCAACCCUUAAGCUUAGUUGCCAUCAUUAAGUUGGGCACUCUAAGUUGACUGCCGGUGACAAACCGGAGGAAGGUGGGGAUGACGUCAAAUCAUCAUGCCCCUUAUGAUUUGGGCUACACACGUGCUACAAUGGACAAUACAAAGGGCAGCGAAACCGCGAGGUCAAGCAAAUCCCAUAAAGUUGUUCUCAGUUCGGAUUGUAGUCUGCAACUCGACUACAUGAAGCUGGAAUCGCUAGUAAUCGUAGAUCAGCAUGCUACGGUGAAUACGUUCCCGGGUCUUGUACACACCGCCCGUCACACCACGAGAGUUUGUAACACCCGAAGCCGGUGGAGUAACCUUUUAGGAGCUAGCCGUCGAAGGUGGGACAAAUGAUUGGGGUGAAGUCGUAACAAGGUAGCCGUAUCGGAAGGUGCGGCUGGAUCACCU
rnacentral:rRNA from 1 species